AUCACUUCAUUGUCAGCCAAAAGAGGGAUUACUAAAUUGUUGAAAUCAGGCAAAACUCCUACUCAUAACUCUUGGCUGAAAAAUAUAUAUAGAUUUGCUCCACUGAAAAAGGCUUGCUGUCAAAUCAGCAGAUGAACACAAGUUGUCAGUGAGAUAUGGUACACACCUUUCUGGAGCUUUGUCUAGUGAUACACUGACAGUGUUAUCUGUGAGCCUAUUGCUAUUCCCUGCCUAGCAAUUAAUCUCUAAACUUGUUACAUUCCUGAUUAGACAGAUGAAUUCACCUUCAAGAGUUAGGCUUAGGCUCUGGAAUUGCACUCCAGUGAGCAGACAGCAGCAAAAUGGAAAAAAACAACCAAACCUUUCCUCAACAAACCUCAGACUGCAAGACAUGAACUGCCAGUGAUUUGCAGAAAACUUUCUAGCAGACUCUGCCAUCAGCCAACAUGUGUUCUUAUUGGAUUCACAUAUGGAGAAUAGAACUAUCUAACUAAAUCCCCCG
rnacentral:lncRNA from 1 species